rnacentral:rRNA from 1 species
GAUGAACGCUGGCGGCGUGCCUAAUACAUGCAAGUCGAGCGAACGGACGAGAAGCUUGCUUCUCUGAUGUUAGCGGCGGACGGGUGAGUAACACGUGGAUAACCUACCUAUAAGACUGGGAUAACUUCGGGAAACCGGAGCUAAUACCGGAUAAUAUUUUGAACCGCAUGGUUCAAAAGUGAAAGACGGUCUUGCUGUCACUUAUAGAUGGAUCCGCGCUGCAUUAGCUAGUUGGUAAGGUAACGGCUUACCAAGGCAACGAUGCAUAGCCGACCUGAGAGGGUGAUCGGCCACACUGGAACUGAGACACGGUCCAGACUCCUACGGGAGGCAGCAGUAGGGAAUCUUCCGCAAUGGCGAAAGCCUGACGGAGCAACGCCGCGUGAGUGAUGAAGGUCUUCGGAUCGUAAAACUCUGUUAUUAGGGAAGAACAUAUGUGUAAGUAACUGUGCACAUCUUGACGGUACCUAAUCAGAAAGCCACGGCUAACUACGUG